GGGAACGUACCUUUUGGUUCGGAACAACACAGGGAAACUUGUGCUAAUACCGGAUAAGCCCUUACGGGGAAAGAUUUAUCGCCGAAAGAUCGGCCCGCGUCUGAUUAGCUAGUUGGUAGGGUAACGGCCUACCAAGGCGACGAUCAGUAGCUGGUCUGAGAGGAUGAUUAGCCACAUUGGGACUGAGACACGGCCCAAACUCCUACGGGAGGCAGCAGUGGGGAAUAUUGGACAAUGGGGGCAACCCUGAUCCAGCCAUGCCGCGUGAGUGAUGAAGGCCCUAGGGUUGUAAAGCUCUUUUGUGCGGGAAGAUAAUGACGGUACCGCAAGAAUAAGCCCCGGCUAACUUCGUGCCAGCAGCCGCGGUAAUACGAAGGGGGCUAGCGUUGCUCGGAAUCACUGGGCGUAAAGGGUGCGUAGGCGGGUCUUUAAGUCAGGGGUGAAAUCCUGGAGCUCAACUCCAGAACUGCCUUUGAUACUGAAGAUCUUGAGUUCGGGAGAGGUGAGUGGAACUGCGAGU
rnacentral:rRNA from 1 species